rnacentral:rRNA from 1 species
UACGUAGGGGGCCAGCGUUGUUCGGAAUUACUGGGCGUAAAGGGUUCGUAGGCGGUGCGGCAAGUUGGGAGUGAAAUCUCUGGGCUUAACCCAGAGGCUGCUUCCAAAACUGCUGUGCUUGAGUGUGGGAGAGGCGCGUGGAAUUGCAGGUGUAGCGGUGAAAUGCGUAGAUAUCUGCAGGAACACCCGUGGCGAAAGCGGCGCGCUGGACCACUACUGACGCUGAGGAACGAAAGCUAGGGGAGCAAACAGG